AGAUUUCACUUUUCUAGUUCUUGUCUCUUUCCUUUAUAAUCUAAAUUUAUGUAGAUAAAUUUGGCAUCUGGAAAUGUCAUUUUCUAUUGGCAAUCUUUCUGUUGGCAAUUACAUAGUGGCAUAUGGAAAAAGCAUCAAUUAUUUCUAAUCUCAGCUCUGCCAUGAAAUAUUUGUGAAGCUUGGAAAAGACACUGAUAUAUUCUAUGUUCUAGUUUCUUUGUAGCUAAAAUCACAAUGAAGCUGUAUGAUUUCUGAGAUCUCCUCUAGUGUAUUUUUAUUUUGUUACUUUCAUGGUGAUUACUAACACCAUUUUCAGCUUAGAGAGGAAAAACAACAUUGCUUCCUUUGAAAUUUGUGUCAGACUAGAAUUGCUAAUAAAAUUCUUUCUCCAUCGCUCUUGUGGAAUAUUUUUUAAUGAAGUUAUUAUAGAAAAUUUUACCUGUGUAUUAUAUAGGGAUUCAUUGACAAUUAUAUAAAUAGACUAACUGAAUGCUAUAACUACAGGAAAGUUAUGCCAUGCCUAGUUUUCCUGUAUAAUAAAUUUUAAGAACUUACAGGGUCUUAUAAAAUAAAAAACUUACAUAAAUACUACCACAUAUGUUUUUCAUAAAAUUAUUCAAAUACCUCAAUUCAGUUCAGUCACUCAGUCAUGUCCAACUCCUUGCAACCCCAUGGACUGCAGCACUCCAGGCUUCCCUGUCAAUCACCAAUUCCAGGAGCCUACUCAAACUCAUGCCCAUCACAUCGGUGAUGCCAUCCAACCAUCUCAUACUCUGUUGUCCGCUUUUCCUCCUGCCUUCAACCUUUCCCAGCAUCAGGUUCUUUUCCAAUGAGUCAGUUCUUCACAUCAGGUGGCCAAAAUAUUGGAGGUGAAGCUUCAGCAUCAGUCCUUCCAAUGAACACCCAGGACUGAUCUCCUUUAGGAUGGACUGGUUGGAUCUCCUUGCAGUCCAAGGGACUCUCAAGAGUCUUCUCCAGCACCACAGUUCAGAAGCAUCAAUUCUUCGGUGCUCAGCUUUCUUUAUAGUCCAACUCUCACAUCCCUACAUGACCACUGGAAAAACCAUAGCUUUGGCUAGAUGGACCUUUAUUGGUAAAGUAAUAUCUCUGCUUUUUAAUAUGCUGUCUAGGUUGGCCAUAGCUUUUCUUCCAAGGAGCAAGCAUCUUUUAAUUUCAUGGCUGCAGUCACCAUCUGCAGUGGUUUUGAUGCUCAAGAAAAUAAAGUCCCUCACUGUUUCCAUUAUUUCCCCAUCUAUUUUCCAUGAAGUGAUGGGACUGGAUGCCAUGACCUUAGUUUUCUGAAUGUUGAGCUUGCAGCCAACUUUUUCACUCUCCUCUUUCACUUUCAUCAAGAGGCUCUUUAGUUCUUUGUCACUUUCUGCCAAAAGCUUUAGUGUAGUCAAUAAAGCAAAAGUAGAUAUCUUUCUGGAACUCUCUUGCUUUUUCAGUGAUCCAGCGAAUGUUGGCAGUUUGAUCUCUGGUUCCUCUGCCUUUUCUAAAUCCAUCUUGAACAUCUGGAAGUUCACAGUGCACGUUCUGUUGAAGCCUGGCUUGGAGAAUUUUGAGCAUUACUUUGCUAAUGUGUGAGAUGACUGCAGUUGUGCGGUAGUUUGAGCAUUCUUUGGCAUUGCCUUUCUUUGGGAUUGGAAUGAAAACUGACCUUUUCCAGUCCUGUGAACACUGUGAUACUUCCUAAGGCCCACUUGACUUCGCAUUCCAGGAUGUCUGGCUCUGGCAAUCUGAGUACC